UCUAGAAGUUACCAGAGAUGGUUUCGUGCUCGAAAGAGAACUAGAACACAGGUGCUGCAUGGCCGUCGUCAGCUCGUGUCGUGAGAUGUUGGGUUAAGUCCCGCAACGAGCGCAACCCUUAUCAUUAGUUGCUACGCAAGGGCACUCUAAUGAGACUGCCGGUGACAAACCGGAGGAAGGUGGGGAUGACGUCAGGUCAUCAUGGCCCUUAUGGGUAGGGCUACACACGUCAUACAAUGGCCGGUACAGAGGGCUGCCAACCCGCGAGGGGGAGCUAAUCUCAGAAAACCGGUCGUAGUCCGGAUCGUAGUCUGCAACUCGACUGCGUGAAGUCGGAAUCGCUAGUAAUCGCGGAUCAGCUUGCCGCGGUGAAUACGUUCCCGGGUCUUGUACACACCGCCCGUCACACCAUGGGAGCGGGUUCUGCCAGAAGUAGUUAGCCUAACCGUAAGGAGGGCGAUUACCACGGCAGGGUUCGUGACUGGGGUGAAGUCGUAACAAGGUAGC
rnacentral:rRNA from 1 species